AUUUACAACUGCAUCAAAAAGAAUAAAAUUCCUAGGAAUAAAUUUAACGAAAGAAGUGAAAAACCUGUACUCUGAAAACUAAAUAUAAUGAUAAAAG